GCGGGCCGUGAGAGCGGGAGCCCGGAGAUGGGCACUGAGACAAGGGCCCAGGCCCUACGGGGCGCAGCAGUCGCGAAAACUUUGCAAUACACGAAAGUGUGACAGGGCUAUCCCGAGUGCCAUCCGCUGAGGAAGGCUUUUACCCAGUCUAGAACGCUGGGGGAAUAAGGAGAGGGCAAGUCUGGUGUCAGCCGCCGCGGUAAUACCAGCUCUCCGAGUGGUGUGGAUGUUUAUUGGGCCUAAAGCAUCCGUAGCUGGCUAAGUUAGUCCCUUGUUAAAUCCACCGAAUUAAUCGUUGGAUUGCGGGGGAUACUGCUUGGCUAGGGGACGAGAGAGGCAGACGGUAUUUCCGGGGUAGGGGUGAAAUCCUAUAAUCCCGGGAAGACCACCAGUGGCGAAGGCUGUCUGCUAGAACGCGCCCGA
rnacentral:rRNA from 1 species